rnacentral:tRNA from 1 species
UUCAAAAAAGCAAAAUUUGCAUAAAAUUUAAAAUUUUAUUUAGUGAAAUAAUUUCACUUUUGAAA